rnacentral:tRNA from 1 species
UAGACGAAAGCUCGCUGGAUUGAGUGUUUAGCUGUUAACUAAGUUGUUGUGGGAUCGAGGCCCACUUGUCUAG